GAGGUAUUUUUAAUCUCAAUGGGACUUUCCUGGUUAAAUAAAGGAAAUAAAUAGAAUAGUCAGCGGAGGGUUUACGCAAAUGCGCCAGCUCUGGGUCGGGCUGAUCAUAAACUUGCUUGACACCUGCAAAAUCAUUUUGGCUCUGAUCCCAUUCGGGUCGACCAAAACAGCCUAAAGAUAGUGUAGUGUUAGUGUUAGUAUAGAUAUUAUUUACAUGUGAAGAUGCUGAGAUUUUCAUUGGGAGUGACAGGAUGGACAAGAUUUGAAAUGAGCAAAUCAGAGGGACAGUGAAGUUGGAGCAGUUUAGAGAUAAAGCUAGAGAAGCCAGUUUGAGAUGGUUUGGACAUGUGUUGAUGAGGGAUAAUGGCUAUAUUGGACAAAGGAUGUUGGAGAUGGAGCUGCCAGGCAGAAGGAAAAGAGGAAGACCCAAGAGAAGGUUCAUGUAACAGUAGAGGAGGCAGGGAAUAGGGUAACACUCAAAGCUCAGCAGUUUCUCAAGACAAUAAUCUAUAUCUGACACUGCUCUGGGGGAUUAUCUUAAAUGAACUGCUUUAUUGUAUCAACUGAGACCAUCUACAGCUGUCUGAUAGUCACCAUCAUUGUCUGCAUCUGUAUUCUUGCCAUUUCAUUUGCUGCCCAGGCUGCUUCCUUUGUUUCCUACACGAGACAAAGAAAACAACUCAUGGGAUAAAGUCACCUGAUUUGUAAUCUGGAACUCUUUUCACAUCUCUAACUCUUUAUCAUCUACAAAGCAUGAGCAACUUACUUUUAGAUAGUCCUCAAAUUUGGCAUGCAUGUAUACAUUUGUUUAAAUCAUAUAGCUGAUUAACAAGGAGAUGAGGGCUCAGUAUAUGUCUUUUAUAUUCAGAAAUGUGGUUCUUAUAAUUGCUUUUGCUAAGAUUAGUUUUAAAAAAUGUAUUUUAUUAUUUUUUCAGAACUUAAAGCAACACUGAUACAUCUGAAUAGACUGAAUAUAAUAUAAAAUGUUACCGAUUAAAUAUUUAUGAAAAAUGGUUGUCGAAUGAGUGCACACAAAAUAAAUAUUUCUGCUGUAUUUUUUGUCACUUUGAAUAACCGACACUGUCUUUACUCUGUGCUGAAAAAUUGAAUAAAUAUAAAAAGCUA